rnacentral:rRNA from 1 species
GUGGGGAGCAAACAGGAUUAGAUACCCUGGUAGUCCACGCCGUAAACGAUGUCGACUUGGAGGUUGUUCCCUUGAGGAGUGGCUUCCGGAGCUAACGCGUUAAGUCGACCGCCUGGGGAGUACGGCCGCAAGGUUAAAACUCAAAUGAAUUGACGGGGGCCCGCACAAGCGGUGGAGCAUGUGGUUUAAUUCGAUGCAACGCGAAGAACCUUACCUACUCUUGACAUCCACGGAAUUUAGCAGAGAUGCUUUAGUGCCUUCGGGAACCGUGAGACAGGUGCUGCAUGGCUGUCGUCAGCUCGUGUUGUGAAAUGUUGGGUUAAGUCCCGCAACGAGCGCAACCCUUAUCCUUUGUUGCCAGCGAUUCGGUCGGGAACUCAAAGGAGACUGCCGGUGAUAAACCGGAGGAAGGUGGGGAUGACGUCAAGUCAUCAUGGCCCUUACGAGUAGGGCUACACACGUGCUACAAUGGCGCAUACAAAGAGAAGCGACCUCGCGAGAGCAAGCGGACCUCACAAAGUGCGUCGUAGUCCGGAUCGGAGUCUGCAACUCGACUCCGUGAAGUCGGAAUCGCUAGUAAUCGUGGAUCA